UGGGGAAUAUUGGACAAUGGGGGCAACCCUGAUCCAGCAAUGCCGCGUGUGUGAAGAAGGCCUGCGGGUUGUAAAGCACUUUUGGCAGGGAUGAAAAGCACUGGAUUAAUAACCCAGUGUGUUGACCUAACCUGCAGAAGAAGCACCGGCUAACUCUGUGCCAGCAGCCGCGGUAAUACAGGGGGUGCGAGCGUUAAUCGGAAUUACUGGGCGUAAAGGGCGCGUAGGCGGCAUGACAAGUCACUUGUGAAAUCUCUGGGCUUAACCCAGAACGGCCAAGUGAUACUGUCGCGCUAGAGUGCAGAAGGGGCAAUCGGAAUUCUUGGUGUAGCGGUGAAAUGCGUAGAUAUCAAGAGGAACACCUGAGGUGAAGACGGGUUGCUGGGCUGACACUGACGCUGAGGCGCGAAAGCCAGGGGAGCAAACGGGAUUAGAUACCCCGGUAGUCCCUGAGCGGGCUGGCAAGGCGCAU
rnacentral:rRNA from 1 species